AAACUUGAGAGUUUGAUCCUGGCUCAGAACGAACGCUGGCGGCAGGCUUAACACAUGCAAGUCGAACGCCCCGCAAGGGGAGUGGCAGACGGGUGAGUAACGCGUGGGAAUCUACCCAGUUCUACGGAACAACUGAGGGAAACUUCAGCUAAUACCGUAUACGCCCUACGGGGGAAAGAUUUAUCGGAAUUGGAUGAGCCCGCGUAAGAUUAGCUAGUUGGUGGGGUAACGGCCUACCAAGGCGACGAUCUUUAGCUGGUCUGAGAGGAUGAUCAGCCACACUGGGACUGAGACACGGCCCAGACUCCUACGGGAGGCAGCAGUGGGGAAUAUUGGACAAUGGGCGCAAGCCUGAUCCAGCCAUGCCGCGUGAGUGAUGAAGGCCUUAGGGUUGUAAAGCUCUUUCAGUGGGGACGAUAAUGACGGUACCCACAGAAGAAGCCCCGGCUAACUUCGUGCCAGCAGCCGCGGUAAUACGAAGGGGGCUAGCGUUG
rnacentral:rRNA from 1 species